UACAAAAAUAAAUAAAAAAUAUUAGAUGAAAAUAAAUGAAAAUGGAUUGUUAAAAUUAUAAUUGAAUAAUUACCCGAUUCCCAACCCGAAUCGAUUCUCAACCCGAUCCGAUUCCAAACUCGAGUUAUUGAGAACGAACCCAGACCCGACUCAGCCCGACCUAAACGACCCAAAAUUAACCCAAUUUGACCCACUUAUCAUAUUUUGUACUAACCCAAAUAAUCAAAACCAUUUGAAUCAAAUGAUCCAAAAUUCAACUUAAACCUAACCAAAUAUUUUGAAUUGACAAGUCCCGAUGACCUGAUCCAUAUAACAAUUUGAAUAUAAGCUCUAAAAGGGAGGAAAAAUUAAAAAAAAAAAAAAAAUAGGGCGGAAAAAUAAAAAGAAAAAGGGCGGAAGAAUUUCUGCUACUACUAUUUUCACAUUAGCUAUUCAGUUACCAAAUACGUUCUUCUUCCUCACUCUCUCUCUCCUCAAAGAUGGAGGUGUAGACGCACUGCCGCAGCAUAAGCACCACCACUGCUGGCGACAAAUACUCUUGCAUUUCCUUUUCUAUGUCCUCUAGAUUAGUAUUCUAGGGUUUUUUUUUUUAGCUUUUACUUCUGCAAUUCUCAUUUUUUCUCUCCUCUAGCUUAACUGGUAUUCUAGGGCUCGACAAAAUUUGUGGUUAAUUUCAGAAAAUAUUUCCUAAUUUGUAAAAUUUGGGCUUGAUUUUCAGUGAGAUCAAAGGGAAUUUCUCAGCGCUUCAACAAAUCGGAGAAUGAAAAAGUUGCAAAAGACCGUCAGAAAAAGAAAGAGGAGAAACUUUCUAACUCCGGUUGGGUGGGCUGAUUCCGAAAUCGUUGUCUAUAGAAGGAAAGCAGGUUGCUGCUGGGUGGCCUACUUGGCUUGCCGCCGUUGCAGGGGAGGCUAUCUAAGGGUGGGUGCCGCAGCGAGCUGAUUCAUUGAUAAGUUAAAUAAGGAAAUUGAACUUGUAGCACAUGGUGUUAAAGGUGUUGGUAAAGAGCAUGCAAAGUGGUCCCCAUUUGCGACUGCUUGAUACCGGAUGCUUCCUGAGGCAUUGCUGGUCUCUGGUGGAAGUGAUGGUUUACUAAUACUUUGGAGUGCUGAGCUUGGUCAUGAUUCAGGAGAGCUUGUACCCAACCUUAGCCUGAAGGCACACGAUGGUGGAGUUUUUGUAGAAUUAUCAAGAGUGUCUAGUGGUGCUCAAUGCUCCACAGCUUAUUACAAUUGGUGCAGAUAAAAUAUUGGCUAUAUGGGAUACAAUCUCAUUCAAGGAGAUGCGGGGAUAAAACCAGUUCCAAAGAUAUCUUGCCAUAGUGUAGCAUCUUGGUGUCAUCCUCGAAAUUUAGAUCUCAAAGGCUUAAAGUGCAGCCCGCGCUUAAGGAGAGCCCUCUCCAAGGACCCGCGGGUGCGGCAGCAAGAGGAGAGGGCGCGGACAGGGUUUUAAUUCUCCCUCGAGUUCCUGGACAGGCGCGACAGUUUGACCCGCGGGCGCGGCGAACUGGGUUUCAUAAAUUUUUUGAUUUUUUUUUUCUGGGGCAUUAAGGGCACCGGUUAACCGAUGCCAAAAAAAACCUUUUUUUUUUUAUUUUUUUGGGAUCUUAUUCGCACCUGUUUGAACCGAAUCGGUGCGAAUUGUUUAUUAUUAGCACCGGUUUUGAACUAGUGCUAAUGUUUUUUUUGGCAUCCCUCAAAUCUACACCAGUUCAUAACCGGUGCGAAAGGGGGGUUUUGAACCAGUGCUAAUUUACAAUUUUUGCCUAGUGAAGAUAUAUAUUCAAGACAAAGACGAAGAGUUGAUCAAUUAGCACUUGAGAUUGUUUAUAGUCAUUUGACCCAUUUCCCUCUUUAAACGUUGCAUUUUAUCCCUUAUGUACAAUAUCAGAUAUAAAAAGUUACACAAUUACUGGUAUUAGAAAUGUACUAGAUCGUGAAUCAUAAGUUAUUUAUUAGGAUUUUUAAGAAUAGAUAUAUUGUGUAGUGAAAUUCUAUUGGAUUUUGUUUUUUGGA